UCAACCAUAAAAAAUCUCUUAAAAUUCCUCUUCCCAUCAGAUUUUCCUCUUCAAAUCGCCUUUUUAGGAACUAAAUCCCUCUUCUUUUUCUUCUUCGUUUGGGCGGAUCAAGCUUACCCUAGCUUCAAACCCUCUUCUCUAAACUGACAGUCUAUCUCUCCAAAAUCUUUAUUUUUUCUCUAAAAUCCUUUCCACUCUACCUCUCAUUAGGUCUUCUAAGCUGUUUGCAAGUUUCUCUUAUCCGA
rnacentral:lncRNA from 1 species